rnacentral:misc_RNA from 1 species
AAGUCGUAACAAGGUUUCCGUAGGUGAACCUGCGGAAGGAUCAUUACAUAAUUUAAGCAAGAAGACAAGCGUGCCGAGGGGUCAAAGCCGACGCAUGCCUUGCUCUCUCUUCAUACACCCUUGUGAACCGUUCUCGACACCUUUGGCGUAGCUUAUGGUCGCGCACCCGGACUCUGGUCCGUCUGCGGGGCUGUUACGUCAAACGGUACCACACAAAACAAACCAUUUGCACAACUAUAAAGACUUAAUCUAAGAUUUUCUAAUUGAAAUACAACUUUUAACAAUGGAUCUCUUGGCUCUU